rnacentral:lncRNA from 1 species
GUGGUGCAAGGUGGUAUAGUAAUUGCAAAGAAAUUAAGGUUGUUUAUUUGGAUUGACUCGAGGGUCUUUUUGAUGAUCGUUCCCAUUAAUAAUGUACUUUUAGUAAUUGUUAGAUAUUUUUUUUGAAGUAUUAGAAUUCUUUUCGUAUGCCGUUAUUUCAUAGUUAAACGAAAUGCGAACAUUUAUCUUAUCAACAACAAUGGUACGGUGAGUAGGGUGAAAAUACUGUUUAUAAAAACUUAAUUGAGUAGGGUGAAAAUAAACCAAAGCAUCAUGGCGGAAUUCAGAUGUGCCCUCGUACGGUGUGCAACACUCUCCGGGGGAUCUAGAAAUAAACAUCAACAGCUGUGUUGCGCUGUGUUGCAUUCGUUUCAUUGAGCAUGACAAAUUUCGAAAUGAAUAAUUUGUCGCAUUGGUCACCAUUUCUUGGUUCUUUGCAAAAUGAAUAUGUUUAUCCUGCGAAUG